rnacentral:rRNA from 1 species
CGGCGGACGGGUGAGUAACGCGUGGGUAACCUGCCUCAUACAGGGGGAUAACAGUUAGAAAUGACUGCUAAUACCGCAUAAGACCACAGCACCGCAUGGUGCGGGGGUAAAAACUCCGGUGGUAUGAGAUGGACCCGCGUCUGAUUAGCUAGUUGGUAAGGUAACGGCUUACCAAGGCGACGAUUGGUAGCCGGACUGAGAGGUUGAACGGCCACAUUGGGACUGAGACACGGCCCAG